rnacentral:rRNA from 1 species
UGAACGCUGGCGGCGUGCCUAACACAUGCAAGUCGAGCGAGAAAGUCGACUUCGGUCGACGAGUAGAGCGGCGAACGGGUGAGUAACACGUGGGUAACCUGCCCUGGAGUGGGGGAUAACCUGGGGAAACUCGGGCUAAUACCGCAUACGCUCUCAGCGCUGCGGUGCUGAGAGGAAAGCUGGCCUAUUCUUGAAAGCUGGCGCUCCUGGAGGGGCCCGCGUCCGAUUAGCUAGUUGGUGAGGUAACGGCUCACCAAGGCACCGAUCGGUAGCCGGCCUGAGAGGGUGAUCGGCCACACUGGGACUGAGACACGGCCCAGACUCCUACGGGGGGCAGCAGUGGGGAAUAUUGGACAAUGGGCGCAAGCCUGAUCCAGCAACGCCGCGUGGAGGACGAAGGCCUUCGGGUCGUAAACUCCUGUCAGUUGGGACGAAAAGCUGUCGGUCAAUACCCGGCAGUCAUGACGGUACCAGCAGAGGAAGCCCCGGCUAACUCCGUG